rnacentral:pre_miRNA from 1 species
AGCCUUCUGUAUCCACGCUGAGAUUUUGUCACAAACCAGACCACAAGGGCUUAUGAGGCUCUCAAGAUAAGCGAGGCG